UGCAAGUCGAGCGGACAGAUGGGAGCUUGCUCCCUGAUGUUAGCGGCGGACGGGUGAGUAACACGUGGGUAACCUGCCUGUAAGACUGGGAUAACUCCGGGAAACCGGGGCUAAUACCGGAUGGUUGUCUGAACCGCAUGGUUCAGACAUAAAAGGUGGCUUCGGCUACCACUUACAGAUGGACCCGCGGCGCAUUAGCUAGUUGGUGAGGUAACGGCUCACCAAGGCGACGAUGCGUAGCCGACCUGAGAGGGUGAUCGGCCACACUGGGACUGAGACACGGCCCAGACUCCUACGGGAGGCAGCAGUAGGGAAUCUUCCGCAAUGGACGAAAGUCUGACGGAGCAACGCCGCGUGAGUGAUGAAGGUUUUCGGAUCGUAAAGCUCUGUUGUUAGGGAAGAACAAGUGCCGUUCAAAUAGGGCGGCACCUUGACGGUACCUAACCAGAAAGCCACGGCUAACUACGUGCCAGCAGCCGCGGUAAUACGUAGGUGGCAAGCGUUGUCCGGAAUUAUUGGGCGUAAAGGGCUCGCAGGCGGUUUCUUAAGUCUGAUGUGAAAGCCCCCGGCUCAACCGGGGAGGGUCAUUGGAAACUGGGGAACUUGAGUGCAGAAGAGGAGAGUGGAAUUCCACGUGUAGCGGUGAAAUGCGUAGAGAUGUGGAGGAACACCAGUGGCGAAGGCGACUCUCUGGUCUGUAACUGACGCUGAGGAGCGAAAGCGUGGGGAGCGAACAGGAUUAGAUACCCUGGUAGUCCACGCCGUAAACGAUGAGUGCUAAGUGUUAGGGGGUUUCCGCCCCUUAGUGCUGCAGCUAACGCAUUAAGCACUCCGCCUGGGGAGUACGGUCGCAAGACUGAAACUCAAAGGAAUUGACGGGGGCCCGCACAAGCGGUGGAGCAUGUGGUUUAAUUCGAAGCAACGCGAAGAACCUUACCAGGUCUUGACAUCCUCUGACAAUCCUAGAGAUAGGACGUCCCCUUCGGGGGCAGAGUGACAGGUGGUGCAUGGUUGUCGUCAGCUCGUGUCGUGAGAUGUUGGGUUAAGUCCCGCAACGAGCGCAACCCUUGAUCUUAGUUGCCAGCAUUCAGUUGGGCACUCUAAGGUGACUGCCGGUGACAAACCGGAGGAAGGUGGGGAUGACGUCAAAUCAUCAUGCCCCUUAUGACCUGGGCUACACACGUGCUACAAUGGACAGAACAAAGGGCAGCGAAACCGCGAGGUUAAGCCAAUCCCACAAAUCUGUUCUCAGUUCGGAUCGCAGUCUGCAACUCGACUGCGUGAAGCUGGAAUCGCUAGUAAUCGCGGAUCAGC
rnacentral:rRNA from 1 species